CAGCAGCAGCCACGGGAAUACGUAGGUGGCAAGCGUUGUCCGGAAUUAUUGGGCGUAAAGGGCUCGCAGGCGGUUUCUUAAGUCUGAUGUGAAAGCCCCCGGCUCAACCGGGGAGGGUCAUUGGAAACUGGGAAACUUGAGUGCAGAAGAGGAGAGUGGAAUUCCACGUGUAGCGGUGAAAUGCGUAGAGAUGUGGAGGAACACCAGUGGCGAAGGCGACUCUCUGGUCUGUAACUGACGCUGAGGAGCGAAAGCGUGGGGAGCGAACAGGAUUAGAGACCCCUGUAGUCCCUGUCUCUUAUAC
rnacentral:rRNA from 1 species